GUGUGUGGUGUAGUGGCUAGUGCGCUGGACUGGGACCCGAGAGGCCAGGGUUCAAAUCCCUACUCAGCCA